rnacentral:rRNA from 1 species
AGUGAACGCUGGCGGUAGGCCUAACACAUGCAAGUCGAACGGCAGCACAGUAAGAGCUUGCUCUUACGGGUGGCGAGUGGCGGACGGGUGCGGAAUACAUCGGAAUCUACUUUUUCGUGGGGGAUAACGUAGGGAAACUUACGCUAAUACCGCAUACGACCUACGGGUGAAAGCAGGGGAUCUUCGGACCUUGCGCGAUUGAAUGAGCCGAUGUCGGAUUAGCUAGUUGGCGGGGUAAAGGCCCACCAAGGCGACGAUCCGUAGCUGGUCUGAGAGGAUGAUCAGCCACACUGGAACUGAGACACGGUCCAGACUCCUACGGGAGGCAGCAGUGGGGAAUAUUGGACAAUGGGCGCAAGCCUGAUCCAGCCAUACCGCGUGGGUGAAGAAGGCCUUCGGGUUGUAAAGCCCUUUUGUUGGGAAAGAAAAGCAGCAGGUUAAUACCGCGCUGUUCUGACGGUACCCAAAGAAUAAGCACCGGCUAACUUCGUG